UAACCCUCAAGCCUAGCUUGGUGUUGGAGCAUGCCCUCGGGCCGCUCUUAAAAUCAGUGGCAGUGCCUGUCGGCUCUAAGCGUAGUAAUUUCUCUCGCUAUAGGGUCCGGUAGAACACGCGCCAGAACCCCCAACUUUCUAU
rnacentral:misc_RNA from 1 species